AUUGGGGAUGGCACCACCUGCCAUUUCUGGGAGGACCCGUAGCUGGACGGGCGAUCCCUCCUUGACAGCGCACCUGCCCUGGUAGCUCUAGUUUCUCGACGGCUUCGGCACUCCUGCAUGGUUGCCCAGGUGCUUUCGGACUGCUACUGGAUUUCCGACAUCCAGGGUGCUCUAGGACCCGCCGCCUCGGUGGAGUAUGUGGGACUCUGGCGCCGCCUUCGGCAUGUUGUGCUCUCCCCGCGCCCUGACUUGCUAUGUUGG
rnacentral:rRNA from 1 species